rnacentral:rRNA from 1 species
GUGCCAGCAGCCGCGGUAAUACGGAGGGUGCAAGCGUUAAUCGGAAUUACUGGGCGUAAAGCGCACGCAGGCGGUUUGUUAAGUCAGAUGUGAAAUCCCCGGGCUCAACCUGGGAACUGCAUCUGAUACUGGCAAGCUUGAGUCUCGUAGAGGGGGGUAGAAUUCCAGGUGUAGCGGUGAAAUGCGUAGAGAUCUGGAGGAAUACCGGUGGCGAAGGCGGCCCCCUGGACGAAGACUGACGCUCAGGUGCGAAAGCGUGGGGA